UGGAGCAUGUGGUUUAAUUCGAUGCUACGCGAAAAACCUUACCUACUCUUGACAUACUUGGAGGCUCUUGUAAUGAGAGUGUGCCUUUUGGAACCAAGAUACAGGUGCUGCAUGGCUGUCGUCAGCUCGUGUCGUGAGAUGUUCCGUUAAGUCGGAUAACGAGCGCAACCCUUACCCUUAUUUGCCAGCGAUUCGGUCGGGAACUAUAAGGGGACUGCCGGUGAUAAACCGGAGGAAGGUGAGGACGACGUCAAGUCAUCAUGGCCCUUACGAGUAGGGCUACNCNCGUGCUACAAUGGGGAAUACAGACGGACGCUAAGCCGCGAGGUGGUGCUACUC
rnacentral:rRNA from 1 species